AAGCAACAAGAGCUUUACUCCAGAAUCCUGACUUUUCAAAGAGCUAAUAAUGCUCACUCUAAUUUCCCAUCUAGUUGGCAAGAAUAGGGAUAGAUAUUGUUGGUAUAGAAACUUCUAAGAUUUUUGAAUGCAAUGGAAAAGACCAAAUAGAAAGUUUAGACUUAUCCCAUCUGGAAGAAGAUGAACUUCUAGAUUACCUGGAUUGGUUCAUCAGUGGAGAACAACCUGAGUAUAAGAGAAGGGAAGAAAUGCAGACCUGGAAAGGAAAGAAAUCAAUUUUUGCCAUUGACCAUCUAAAGAGUGAUGUUUAUGAACUGUUGGGCUGUUUUUAUUUGAUCUAUGCAACAAAUUUUCAGUGAAUCCAUUGAUUAGUCAUUUGCAGAAUGAUGCAGAAGAAUAGAAAGAAGCAUCAUCCAACUGGGCAAGAUGCAUUCUUUCCCAUUCCCAUCUGUCUCUGCUUUGAGGUGAUCUGCCUUCUCCAAAAGUCACCUGAAGGAUGUCCUAGCCAAAUUAGAAUGAAUACAUCCCUCUCUCUGAAGAAUCAUAAAACCGAAGCAAUUGACAGAGGUCAUGGAAGACUGAGGCUUUCUCCAGGAAAAGAACUACUUAAAAUUUCAAAAGAUAAUAUGCACGGAAGCACCCUCCUCAAGCGAAUAUGUUCCCCAGUGUCCUCACUUUUAGAAACAACUAAGAGAGAAAAGUAGAAGAGGAGCUGAGAUGGAUUUUGGUAUUGAUUCAAACUGAGCUCAAUGGAACAACCCUCUAAUGAUUCAGUUAGAAUAAAUCUCUCAAAGGUCAGCUGCUUCUCCAAACCACUAGAAAAUCAAUAUAAUUAGAGCGAGUAAAUUCCACA